UCACAACUCAACUCUAGCAUAGCAUCAUAUGAUGCGUAACAUUAUCCUUUUUUAAAUUAAAUUAAAUUUUAAAAAAUUAUUUUUAGUAGAAACACAGUUUUCCUAUGUUGCCCAGGCUGGUCUUGAACUCCUGAUUUCAAGUGAUACUCCUACCUUGGCCUCCCAAAGUAUUGGGAUUACAGGUGUGAGCCACCACACCUGGCUACAAACUUCCUUAACUUAAACAUUCCUUUCUGGUAACUCCAAGUUCUUAGACCACACUUUGUUCUUCUAAACAAUUACAAAUUAAAUAAUCUCUGGCCCCGCACGGUGGCUCACGCAUGUAAUCUUAGCACACGCCUGUAAUCCCAGCACUUUGGGAGGCUGGGGCGGGUGGAUCACUUGAGUUCGGGAGUUCAAGACAGGCCCGGCCAACAUGGUGAAACGCCGUCUCAACUCAAUUGCACCACUGCAUUCCAGCCUGGGCAACAAAGCAAGACUCUGUCUCAAAAAAAGAAAAAAAAGACUCUCUGAACCCACCUAUGACCUGUAUUCCUCUGCUUCAAGAUAUCUUGCCUUUUGGGACCAAACCAAUGUAUAACCUCCAUGUAUUGAUUGAUGGCUUUUUGUGUAGCUUCUGCUUCCCUGAAAUGCAUAAAACAGAGUUACAUUCUGACUGCCUCAGGACUACUUACUCAAGGUUUCCUGGGUUUGUGUUUUCUCCAGGCCACGGUCACUUCACAUUGGCUCAGGUUAAACGUCUCUGAAAUAUUUUUCACAGUUUGUUUUUUUACAUUAAGUGCUGGGAUUACAGGCUGAGGCGGGCAGCUUACCUGACGUCAGGAGUUUGAG
rnacentral:lncRNA from 1 species